AAUUCUACUGCUAUGGCUUCGUUUCCUUGUUUUCUUUAAUUAUUGAUUAAGCUGCUGCAGCUGUGGACUGUGACGAUCGAUUUUCCGAAAGAAUCGUUGCUGCUAUGAACUAUUUCAGCCCUGCCCUGGAAAAAUCCCCAAAAAUGUUUUUGUUUCCAUCUAGCCUCUGUUAUCGCGAUUGUUGAUGACAUCGCUGCUGCAGAGGGUCAUCGGCGUCACUGUUGCGGUUGCUGCCACAAAUUAGGAAUAAAAGGAACUAUUGCGUUAAAUUCUGCAAUUGCGACAUCGAGGUAGGGGGUUUAAAAUGAUUUUAAUUUAGGAAUGCCAACAAGGGUUACUGAAUAACUGCAAAUAGUAUUAAUAGUUGUGAGUAAUUAAUUGAUUAUAUGAAUGUUGGAUUGUGAUUGCGAUUGUGCUCGGUGCUGUGAUUGAAUUGAUUGUAAUUAUGUAUGGUAGAUGAUUGAAUUAUUGAUUGUUGGUUGUUGAAAUGGUUGUUUGGUAUAUUGCUAUGGUUGUGAAAGUGACUUGAGAUUAGUAGAGGAUUGUGGUUUUGACUGAUUAUGUAUAAAUGGUUGAGACUAAGAUAAUCAUUUGAUA